rnacentral:rRNA from 1 species
GACGAACGCUGGCGGCGUGCUUAACACAUGCAAGUCGAACGGAAAGGCCCUGCUUGCAGGGUACUCGAGUGGCGAACGGGUGAGUAACACGUGGGUGAUCUGCCCUGCACUUCGGGAUAAGCCUGGGAAACUGGGUCUAAUACCGGAUAGGAGCCAUUUUUAGUGUGAUGGUUGGAAAGUUUUUUCGGUGUAGGAUGAGCUCGCGGCCUAUCAGCUUGUUGGUGGGGUAAUGGCCUACCAAGGCGGCGACGGGUAGCCGGCCUGAGAGGGUGGACGGCCACAUUGGGACUGAGAUACGGCCCAGACACCUACGGGAGGCAGCAGGGGGGAAUAUUGCACAAUGGGCGCAAGCCGGAUGCAGCGACGCCGCGUGGGGGAUGACGGCCUUCGGGUUGUAAACUCCUUUCGCUAGGGACGAAGCUUUUUGUGACGGUACCUAGAUAAGAAGCACCGGCUAACUACGUG